rnacentral:rRNA from 1 species
UACGUAGGGCGCGAGCGUUGUCCGGAUUUAUUGGGCGUAAAGAGCUCGUAGGCGGCCUGUCGCGUCGACCGUGAAAACCCGCAGCUCAACUGCGGGCUUGCGGUCGAUACGGGCAGGCUGGAGUUCGGUAGGGGAGACUGGAAUUCCUGGUGUAGCGGUGAAAUGCGCAGAUAUCAGGAGGAACACCGGUGGCGAAGGCGGGUCUCUGGGCCGAUACUGACGCUGAGGAGCGAAAGCGUGGGGAGCGAACAGG